rnacentral:hammerhead_ribozyme from 1 species
AUCCAGCUGACGAGUCCCAAUUAGAACGAAACGCGCGUCAGACUGGAU